AUUGUAUGGCUUUGCUGUGCUUUCCGGAUUAGUACUUUGCUUGCUUUAACUCUGCUUUGGGUUCCUAGUUCUUCUUCGCCGUUUGCUUCUUCUCGUUUGUGUGUGGGUUCUGGUGGGCUAGGUUCGUGUUUGGGGUUUGUCUCUCGGAUGGUACAUCGUUGCAGGUGCAUCUACUAGGUCUUUUAUGAAGCCGUCUUCGGUUUUCGUUGUUGGGUUCUAAGCGCAGCAGUGGUUUCGUUCACUAGUUCUUCUCUUGCGAGGUCGUGACCGGUUCAGGUUUGUAGGUGGCUUUGAUUGUAAGAGUUGGUGCUCCUCUUUGACUUAUCCCCAGCCGUUUUUCAAAGGUUCUUUGUGCCUGGUUUCGCUCGAGCUCAUUUCCAUGGUGGAGAUGGCAUGAUGGUGUUUGUUGUUGUGCUCAUUUUUCGGAUUGAUCUCGCUCUCUGUUAUGUCGGAUUGUUGCUGGUUGAGCUUUCAUAUUCGUUCUUCUUCGGGAUCUCUGGUCUAUUGGAGUUUGCAUGUUUGGUUGGUUCUUCUUGAGGCUCAUGUUUCUUGGUUUCAACUCCGACGCCAACCGUUUCUCUGGGAUUGUUUGCGGGUUAUGAUGGUUUCGAGUCUCAGUUUUAGUUCUUUGGUUCCUUUUGAGUUUACCUUCUUGUACCUUUUUGUUUAGUUUGCUUCCUUCUUUUGGCCUUAGUUUCCCGGGGAUAUUUAUGUCUUCCGCCGGCUUAGUUUCCGAAAGAGUUUCGACUCUUGUCGGUUUUGUAUUUCAAAACCGUAUUCUACCCUCGUAUAAUAUAAUGGAAUCAUUCAGACGAAAAAAAAAAAAAAAAAA
rnacentral:lncRNA from 1 species